rnacentral:rRNA from 1 species
GACGAACGCUGGCGGCGUGCUUAACACAUGCAAGUCGAACGGAAAGGCCCUGCUUUUGUGGGGUGCUCGAGUGGCGAACGGGUGAGUAACACGUGAGUAACCUGCCCUUGACUUUGGGAUAACUUCAGGAAACUGGGGCUAAUACCGGAUAGGAGCUCCUGCUGCAUGGUGGGGGUUGGAAAGUUUCGGCGGUUGGGGAUGGACUCGCGGCUUAUCAGCUUGUUGGUGGGGUAGUGGCUUACCAAGGCUUUGACGGGCAGCCGGCCUGAGAGGGUGACCGGCCACAUUGGGACUGAGAUACGGCCCAGACUCCUACGGGAGGCAGCAGUGGGGAAUAUUGCACAAUGGGCGGAAGCCUGAAGCAGCAACGCCGCGUGCGGGAUGACGGCCUUCGGGUUGUAACCCGCUUUCGCCUGUGACGAAGCGUGAGUGGCGGUAAUGGGUAAAGAAGCACCGGCUAACUACGUG